GUGUGUGAUGUAGGGAGAGAAGAGGGAUGACACAUCCAUUUCAUGGGGGCUGGGAGGUUUACUAAGUCUCCACAGAGUUUAACCUUGAAAAGUGACUGGAAAUCCAGCCAACACUCUGAGAGUAAAAGAAGACUUAAAACUCCAGGCCGAGGAUGCGGGAAGCUGAAAUUGUUCAGGCGACAGAGAAGGAACCGGUGGAGAGAUCCUGAUGUUGACAUGCAGGGAGUGUUCAACAUUGCCUUUGCAGCAGGGUGCUGGAAGAGAGAGAAAGAAACAGACUGUGGUGGAGAGGUUGGCCUGGGGUAAGAAGGAUUCUCCCGCCUUUGAGUCACUAAGGGGAUCACAGACCUCCGGACAUACUUAAUGCAAGCUCUCAGUCAUUGCUCCAGCACCAUGCCUACCUGCUGCCAUGCUUCCAUCAAGAUGAUCAUGGGGCAGGUGGGCAGAAGUCAACCAGAGGCCCACACAGGUGGCCAGGUGCCACUUUGAGUGAUUAUGUGAAGGGAGAGAUGGGAGAGAAAGAGAAGAAGAGCACUUUGUGCACUGUGAAGAGAGACAGAGCUGGAGAUGCAAGAUAAAGGACGGUGAGAUAUCGCACAAUGUGAGUGACCUGUGCUGCCACUGAAGGCCAUGUGUUUGUCUGUGACCCUACUGCAGCAGGAGUCUGUGUCAAAAUGUCUGUGGCCCAAGUUGCCACCAAUGACCAUUAGGAUGUCCAUUGUCCGGGAUGUCGCCUGGAACCCUGUUGAUGUCUGAAGGCUUAGCUGAGCCUGCUCUGCCCCUCACCUGCUGCUGUAGUCCAAGGGUGGAAGAGCUGGCCUUGAAGGUGUGAGCAUGGAGAGCUGUCCUCCUCCAGCUGUGGUACUCAGGAGAGCUGGCCUCACACCUUGCCUGGACAUUGCAGGAGAGCUGGCCCUGGUGGCUUGGGCAUGGGAGAGCUGGUAGUUGACCAACACAGCUAACAUGCAGGCCCAGCUCCAGGGCACUGACUUGGCCCAUCCCAGCAUCUACCUCAUUUGUGAGCUACUGGAGUAUAUGAACCAAAGCUGCAGGAUCUCCACAACACAGGGAACAACAGGAUAUCCAAGAGGAGUCCUGUUGAGGAUCCAGUAUUUACAGUGUAGCAGAAGCCAGAGGCUUCAAAGCAGACUAGUGACUCACUGCGAUGGACAUUUGCAAGCAAAGCUGUGUGGGCAAACGGGUACACAGUGUGACACACUGUGACACACCACAGCUUCCACAGUGAGAGUUUUAAUUAAAAAAAAUUUUUUUUUGUUUUCUUAUAUGAAGAGGUUGCAAGGGCAGACAUUGAGGAACUGAGAGAUGAGUGGGAUUGGGUUGUAUGAUUUGAAAUUCUUAAAGAAUCAAUAAAAAGUUAAAAAUAAAAAAGACGCUCAUGGAUUCAUUCUCUGAAACUGUGAGCCCCCAAUAAAUUAUUUCUUCCAGAAGUUUCUUUGUACAUAGCAUCUUUUCAUAGUCAUAAAAACGUAACUAAGACAGUGGGUGAGGAAAAGACUGAGUUUGACUUGGAUAUUUCUAGAUCAUAUGGUUGAAUUUUUCUUACGUGUCAGUGCUCCAUGGAAAGGUUGAUGUAGGGAGCUGGGGACAGGGAAGGGGCAAAAGAUUUGCAUUGGGCAGAUUAGAUCUGAGGUGCCUAAGAUGCUGACAAACGGAGAUGUCAGGUAAUAGAGGGAUAUGUAUGGCAGGUUCUUGGGUCCUUCAGAUGUAAAUCUGAAUGUCAUAAAGAAUUGGGAACCUGAAAUCACGUGGGUGGCUUGGAGAAAAUACAUGCUCUAAAAUCUAGGUCUGAAGUCAGUCAUUGAAUGGAGGUCAAGCACUGGAGAAGGAAAUGAUCGUGGAGAUUAACA
rnacentral:lncRNA from 1 species